UGGCCCCUUGGGGCAGCUGGGUGGUGUGGACGGUCAUAAGCUCUGGGCCACACAGCCAAUGUUCAAGUUCCACCUCCACUGUGGACUAGCUGGGGGGCCUUGAACCACCUCCUUAGCCUCUCUAUACCUUCAUUUGCUGGGGGUCGUGGCGCUAGCGCUCACACCCACAGAGUUGCCAUGAAGACCUGGGAGAUGCACAUUUGGUACAGGACCUGGACCGCAGUCAGGGCUCACCAAAUGGCCACUGGGAUUGUCUAGAAUAGCUGUCUCUGAGCCACCCACUGACAUACGCACACAUGUGCCUCCCCCGAAUAGCUGGAUUGCUUCCCAAAUCUGGCUGUCACCUUGACACACCGGAGUAGAAUUCUCUGAAAGGCAUCGGCAUUUCUUUCCUGCUACCAGUGACCCCCUCCAAUUCUUUCCGGAUGACUCCAACCAGCCUGAAGCAGCUUCAUUCCUGCCCUGACACACAACAAUUCCUAAGGAGAAACUGAGGCCCAUGAGUGUCCUCACCCUAAACGGCCCCAAUCUUCUGGAUGAAGUGAGCUAGCAUUGAUUGAACACCUGCUAUACGCUAGAAACUAAAUGCGGACUGAUACAAUAGUCGCUGACAGCUAUGGGACGCUAUGAGCCACCAGCCUUAAAACCUUCACCCUCUCCUCCGACCUGCUGUGAAGCUGUCACCAGCAUCCUUACCACCAUAAGGAUGCCCCAGUGCACGGCCAGGCACCAGAUCUUUCCAUGACCACCACGGCUGGCCGUAUGGUGUCAGGGUUCGGGACAUGAGCUCUGACCUCAGACACAGCUGAGUUCAAAUCCUCCAUCUGCUGCUGGUUAGCUGUGCGAUUUCAAGCAAGGAGCUUAAACUUUUGUGUCUCUGUUUCCCUAUUUGUAAAUGGAGACCAUGGGUAUCAACUCUGAUGUCUUCUUUGCUGAAAAAGUCUUUUCCCAUCUGCUUGCAGCUCUGAAAAACGAACUCUUCCAUCCUAUCAGCUUUCUUUUUUUAUAUGCACUCUAUCCAUAAGCCAAGAAAAGAAGAA